UACGAAGGGUGCAAGCGUUACUCGGAAUUACUGGGCGUAAAGCGUGCGUAGGUGGUUUGUUAAGUCUGAUGUGAAAGCCCUGGGCUCAACCUGGGAAUUGCAUUGGAUACUGGCAGGCUAGAGUGCGGUAGAGGAUGGCGGAAUUCCCGGUGUAGCAGUGAAAUGCGUAGAGAUCGGGAGGAACAUCUGUGGCGAAGGCGGUUCUCUGGGCCUGUACUGACGCUGAGGAGCGAAAGCGUGGGGAGCGAACAGG
rnacentral:rRNA from 1 species